UACAGAGGGUGCAAGCGUUGUUCGGAAUCAUUGGGCGUAAAGCGCACGUAGGCGGCUUCGCAAGUCAGGUGUGAAAGCCUGGGGCUCAACCCCAGAAGUGCACUUGAAACUGCGAGGCUUGAAUGUCGGAGAGGGCAGUGGAAUUCCGAGUGUAGAGGUGAAAUUCGUAGAUAUUCGGAGGAACACCAGUGGCGAAGGCGACUGCCUGGACGAACAUUGACGCUGAGGUGCGAAAGCGUGGGGAGCAAACAGG
rnacentral:rRNA from 1 species